rnacentral:rRNA from 1 species
GACGAACGCUGGCGGCGUGCUUAACACAUGCAAGUCGAACGGAAAGGCCCUGCUUGCAGGGUGCUCGAGUGGCAAACGGGUGAGUAACACGUGGGUGAUCUGCCCCUUACUUUGGGAUAAGCCUGGGAAACUGGGUCUAAUACUGGAUAGGACCAUGCUGUAGGUGGUGUGGUGGAAAGAUUAGUUUCGGUAAGGGAUGAGCUCGCGGCCUAUCAGCUUGUUGGUGGGGUAAUGGCCUACCAAGGCGUCGACGGGUAGCCGGCCUGAGAGGGUGGACGGCCACAUUGGGACUGAGAUACGGCCCAGACUCCUACGGGAGGCAGCAGUGGGGAAUAUUGCACAAUGGGCGCAAGCCUGAUGCAGCGACGCCGCGUGGGGGAUGACGGCCUUCGGGUUGUAAACUCCUUUCAGCCAUGACGAAGCCCUUGUGGUGACGGUAGUGGUAGAAGAAGCACCGGCUAACUACGUG